rnacentral:rRNA from 1 species
AGGAUGAACGCUGGCGGCGUGCUUAACACAUGCAAGUCACGGGGGCCCAGCAAUGGGUAACCGGCGAACGGGUGCGUAACACGUGAGCAACCUACCGAAAUGAGGGGGAUAGCCGGCCCAACGGCCGGGUAAUACCGCAUACGCUCGAGACCAGGCAUUUGGACUCGAGGAAACCUCGAGGGGCAUUUCGAGGGGCUCGCGGCCUAUCAGCUAGUUGGUGAGGUAACGGCUCACCAAGGCGACGACGGGUA